rnacentral:misc_RNA from 1 species
UUUCCGUAGGUGAACCUGCGGAAGGAUCAUUAACGAGUUAGGGUCUUCCAGGCCCGACCUCCCAACCCUAUGUUUAUUGAACCUCUGUUGCUUCGGCGGACCCGUCUCACGGCCGCCGGAGGACCGCUGCAAGGCGUCCUCUGGCCAGCGUCCGCCGAUGGCCAACCACUUAAACUCUGAAUGAAUCGUGUCAUAUGUCUAAGUCUAUGAUUAAAUUAAAGCAAAACUUUCAACAACGGAUCUCUUGGUUCUG